AUUGAACGCUGGCGGCAGGCCUAACACAUGCAAGUCGAGCGAUCGGCGGGCGGGUGAGUAAUGUCUGGGAAACUGCCUGAUGGAGGGGGGUAACUACUGGAAACGGUAGCUAAUACCGCAUACCAUCAGAUGUGCCCAGAUGGGAUUAGCUAGUAGGUGGGGUAACGGCUAACCUAGGAGACGAUCCCUAGCUGGUCUGAGAGGAUGACCAGCCAAACGGGAACUGAGACACGGUCCAGACUCCUACGGGAGGCAGCAGUGGGGAAUAUUGCACAAUGGGCGCAAGCCGGAUGCAGCCAUGCCGCGUGGGUGAAGAAGGCCUUCGGGUUGUAAAGCACUUUCAGCGGGGAGGCGUUACCCGCAGAAGAAGCACCGGCUAACUCCGUGCCAGCAGCCGCGGUAAUUC
rnacentral:rRNA from 1 species